rnacentral:rRNA from 1 species
GAGGAAUAUUGGUCAAUGGGCGAGAGCCUGAACCAGCCAAGUAGCGUGCAGGAUGACGGCCCUAUGGGUUGUAAACUGCUUUUGUAUGGGGAUAAAGUCAGUCACGUGUGAUUGUUUGCAGGUACCAUACGAAUAAGGACCGGCUAAUUCCGUGCCAGCAGCCGCGGUAAUACGGAAGGUCCGGGCGUUAUCCGGAUUUAUUGGGUUUAAAGGGAGCGUAGGCUGGAGAUUAAGUGUGUUGUGAAAUGUAGACGCUCAACGUCUGACUUGCAGCGCAUACUGGUUUCCUUGAGUAUGCACAACGUUGGCGGAAUUCGUCGUGUAGCGGUGAAAUGCUUAGAUAUGACGAAGAACUCCGAUUGCGAAGGCAGCUGACGGGAGCGCAACUGACGCUGAAGCUCGAAGGUGCGGGUAUCGAACAGGAUUAGAUACCCUGGUAGUCCGCACAGUAAACGAUGGAUGCCCGCUGUUGGUACCUGGUAUCAGCGGCUAAGCGAAAGCAUUAAGCAUCCCACCUGGGGAGUACGCCGGCAACGGUG